GUGCUCGCUACAGCAGCAUAUAUACUAAAAUUGGAAUGAUACAGAGAUUAGCAUGGCCCUUGUGCAAGGAUGACAUGCAAAUUCAUGAAGCAUUCCAUAUUUUG
ensembl:snRNA U6 U6 spliceosomal RNA